rnacentral:rRNA from 1 species
GAUCCUGGCUCAGAAUCAACGCUGGCGGCGUGCCUAACACAUGCAAGUCGCACGAGAAAGUGGAGCAAUCCAUGAGUAAAGUGGCGCACGGGUGAGUAACACGUGAAUGAUCUACCUCCGAGUGGGGAAUAACUGAGAGAAAUCUUAGCUAAUACCGCAUAACACUUACGAGUCAAAGCAGCAAUGCGCUUGGAGAGGAGUUCGCGGCCGAUUAGUUAGUUGGCGGGGUAAUGGCCCACCAAGACGAUGAUCGGUAUCCGGCCUGAGAGGGCGCACGGACACACUGGAACUGAAACACGGUCCAGACUCCUACGGGAGGCAGCAGUGGGGAAUUUUGCGCAAUGGGGGAAACCCUGACGCGGCAACGCCGCGUGGAGGAUGAAAUCCCUUGGGAUGUAAACUCCUUUCGAUAGGGAAGAUAAUGACGGUACCUAUAGAAGAAGCCCCGGCUAACUUCGUGCCAGCAGCCGCGGUAAUACGAGGGGGGCAAGCGUUGUUCGGAAUUAUUGGGCGUAAAGGGUGCGUAGGCGGUUUGACAAGUCUGAUGUGAAAUCUAUGGGCUCAACCCAUAGUCUGCAUUAGAAACUGUCGGGCUUGAGUAUGGGAGAGGUGAGUGGAAUUUCCGGUGUAGCGGUGAAAUGCGUAGAUAUCGGAAGGAACACCUGUGGCGAAAGCGGCUCACUGGACCAU